rnacentral:rRNA from 1 species
AAGCGCUUAUGACCAGACUUUUGCCUUGCGGAUCAUCCGGUGUUCUCACCGGUGCACUUCGCUUGGUUGAGGCCAGCAUCGAUUUUUGCGGGGGGAUAAAGUCUGCGGGAAUGUGGCUCUUCGGAGUGUUAUAGCCCGUGGUAAUACCCCCGUGGGGAUCGAGGUUCGCGCUCUGCAAGGAUGCUGGCAUAAUGGUCAUCAGCGA